rnacentral:sRNA from 1 species
UCCAGGGAAGUCAAGAAAGUACUUGCGUGGGACUCAGGAGGGACUUCUGUGUUCUGUGUGCUGCAGGAGCAUUAACCCUGAUCACUCACUGAACCUGUCAACACACCGGGUCUGAUGCUAAACACCAGGGAGGAACUAAGUCCAGGAGCUCUUGCCUUCCCUUAGCAAUAAGUAAAUAGUACAUGUUGAUAUAUGUAACUAUGCAUUCUCCUGUGGUACAAAUUCUCAAGAAAAUCCCUUUGUAUUACCCUCUCGCUAUACUUUCUUAUGGCUCCUACAGAUCCUCCAUGCUACCAUUCAAGAAGCAAAACAAUAGUUGUAGCGGAUGGCUAGCUGCACCUCAAGUCUUUCCUUUCUGCUCCAAGCAUCGGUGAGCACAGUUGAGCAUGCUUGAGCUCAACACCACGGGCUAUGUGCAGGAGAUGGAUGCAGGCUUUCUCAGCUUCUGCUGCACCACACUCUUGCUCCUGCACUGGCAUUUUCCUGAGCAAAGCUGAGGGGAUCAUUAAUCUGUCUCCUUGCUAUUUUUCUGCCCAGCCCAGGGGACGAUGUUGGCCUAUAAAUCAGCUCAGUGUAGAGUGGGAAAAAUCAAGAAAGGGAUACAGUAGGGAAGAAAAUAGCCACUUAGGAAGGAUACAAUCCUCAGUCUAAUACCCAGAAAGUGGAGGAAGAAGCUUCGGUGAUCUUUUGAGGAAGCAACGCAGAAAGAUAAAAUCAUACUAUCCUAGCAGGGCAAGAUCUAGGACAAAGGGGAUCUUGAAUCUCAUCUUCAAGAUGCAGUUCUAAGCUUCUUGUUCCAGCUAAUCCCUCGGGGAUACAAGUAGGCCAUCUGCCGAGGUGGAAUCCCACCCUGCUCCCACUCAGCUUUCUGCAAUUGGGAAACUACAGCAUUUGCAGAGAAAUAGAGCAAAUUCCACCGUGCCAUUUAUACAAACCCUACCUAUCUGCUCAUGGCAAUUAAUUAUUAAAACCCGCUGGAAAAAAGAUUUCUAUGUGGCACCAUCAGGAAUAGGAGGCAGUAUGGUAGUAACGGGAACCUAGGAUGUGGCCGGACGCUGGGCUUUUUCUGAGUCUCUGGGUACAUUAACCCUGGGCUGGUUCCUCACUUUCCCUCUCCUUCCAGAACUUGAAAGGAGAGGGUUCUGUGGCAUGGCAUCUGUCAGAACAGUGAUGGGAAGAAACCAUAUUUCACUCAUUGACUCUGCCAUGUCUUGGCUUCCAUUCUUAAGGCUCCAUGGCUUGCAAGGAGAAAGGGAUGCUUCCUUGUGGCCGUCACUAUGUGUCCUAGCUCUAACCUGCUGGUAUGUGGUGUACACAAGUGUGACUGGUCCCUUCCAGGCCAAACUCUGCUCUUGGAAGUUUUAAGAAUUUGCAAAAAUACUUUCAUGGGUUCAAGAGCUCAAGCUUGGAAAGAGAGGGGAGCUACUGGUGCGUAAUGAGAGAUUGUGGGCCUAGAUAGAGCUCUGAAACCACAUCUCUGAAGCAAAGCCACAAUACCUGUCUUACUGGUUUCUUGUGAGCACUAGGGAUCAGGUAGGACAAGUAAACAGUACCUGGAGGUGCACAGUGUGGGAAACCAUUACUACAAUUACAUCAUUGGAGUUAAAGACAGAAGGCUAAUGGAAUGGACAUGCCUUCCAGGGAGAUAUCUCGCAGGCCAGGUAAUGUGGGUGUGCUUAGGAUAUAAGUAUGUGUAUGUAGAGCAGGAGGGCUUGACUCUGUGAAUAUGUGCAUGCAUAUAUGAGUAAGGGUGCAUGCGAAUGUGUACAUGUCUGUGCAAGCGUGUGUCUUUCAGUUGGGGUAGACAGAAUAACUAGUCCUCCAGGUAGACUAUCAUUCCAUUGUUCACACUUCUAUUCCUGCCUCAGCACAUCCUUCUCACUUUUCCUAUUCCACGUACUACUAAUAACUGAUCAGGCUUCAGCUUGUAAUGUCGCCUCUUUGAAUCCAGCCUUGAGCUCUUAGAGAAUAACUGAUCAUUCCCUCCCCUGUCUUCCUGUGUGUUCAUUAGGCAAGCAGCAAGUAGAGGGCCUGACUGUGUGGGGUCUGCGUGUCACAGGUUAGAACAUUGCCUCUCCAAUGUGUAGCUGAGAUAACUAACCUUUAGAGGCCCUAGCUUCCUUGUCCGUCAUAUACAGAUGAGGGUGUCUUGUUCAUAGGAUUCAUAGCUUUGAUAACAUAAUGGCACAGAGCAUUUCACACGGUACCUAGUCCAUAGUGAAUGGUUAGUUCAUGCCACACAUCAUCAUCACUCCACUCCUGUGUCUGAAACGUUACAACGUUAGAGUAGCAAUAUUUGUUCCCACCAAUCUAUGAACUUCCCUGAGUGGAGACUUUUUCUCCAGCAUCCGAGUCAGCAGCUUAGCUCUGAAGCUGUUUGGUAAACAUUACUUCUUUCUUCCUCUCCGUCUUUACUUCGCCACACUCUUCUUCAAGUUACCAUUAGGAUGAAGGCCUGAAAGCCAUGGCACAGACUUGUCCCCAUUAAAAACAGAUAUUCUCAGUCAAUUCAUUAAGACCCACUCAAUCUAUAUUUAGCAGGCAUUCAGCAUGUAUUUAUUACAUCAGCAAGGCCAUUUUUCCCCCACUGUUGUCUUCAAUAGACUCAGUUGAAACACUAGGAAAUGUCUUCUGCUCCACCAGUACAUCCAAGAUCUAAACUUGUGACAGGACAAUACCCUACUGUUGCUGCUCCACAGAAAGUGCCUUUGGCCACCGGGGCCUGCUCACUUCCCAAACAUGCGGCACCGAACAAAACUGCACCCAGAGAAAAGACCAGCUCACCAGAGAACUGACCCCUACUGCAUACAGAUAUGCCAUUGUGUAGAAAAUGAGCCCUGAGUCCCUGUCAUUAUCGAUCCUCCAUGCGCCUUCUUCCACACAGAUCUAAGAAGAGGCUCAACUGGAGGCUGAUGCCCACUCUUCUUUCUCAGGCUCUUAUGUUUGACAGGAGAAUUUCCCUCCAAACUUUGAGUGAGAGUUGGAAGUAAGCUGUGCUCUCUGUGACCCAGGAUUUAGCAUGCUUGCAUCAAGCCCAGGUAUCUGAGAAAUGUCUUAGAGCAUGCCCUGUGAUUCUAUUAUUCAGGCUUUAGGUCAAAGCUUCUACCUCGAUGUGCUACUCCAAUUUCCCCCCACUGUAUAAGUUAGGAGCUUCAUGCUUGGCAUGAGCGUGCUUUCUGCAGUAGGGAUUGCUACCUUAAACUCACCGGUGAGAUGUAUUUGACUUCUUUGUUAGAGAUGGUUCCCUCUGCCCAGUGCAAAUAUCUUGUUGUAUAAGAAUUAAACUGUCAAUGCGUUCUUU